rnacentral:lncRNA from 1 species
AAUUUCUUGAAAGCUUGUCUUGAGUUGUAAUUGGUUGGAUUUUUAAGAGUGAGUGAAGGUUGUCGAGUGAUUCUACUGCAGUGGGUUUGGUAUUGAGCAAAGAAUUGCUCUUGAGUGACAAAGAGAUUUGUAACGAGCAAAGGCUUGCUCUAAGAUUGUAAGGGUUUUAAUCUUCACCCAAAGAAGAUUUGAUAGUGGAGUUAAACUCUCAAG